rnacentral:rRNA from 1 species
UGCCAGCAGCCGCGGUAAUACGGAGGGUGCAAGCGUUAUCCGGAAUCACUGGGUUUAAAGGGUGCGUAGGCGGUCUUGUAAGUCUGUAUUGAAAUCUUGGAGCUUAACUCCGAAAUUGGUAUGGAUACUGUGAGACUUGAAAUUAGAUGAGGUUGGCCGGAAUGUGACAUGUAGCGGUGAAAUGCUUAGAUAUGUCAUAGAACACCGAUUGCGAAGGCAGCUGACUGGACUAAAUUUGACGCUGAGGCACGAAAGCGUGGGGAUCAAACAGGAUUAGAUACCCUGGUAGUCC